rnacentral:rRNA from 1 species
UGGGGAAUAUUGCACAAUGGGCGCAAGCCUGAUGCAGCAAUGCCGCGUGUGUGAAGAAGGCCUGCGGGUUGUAAAGCACUUUCAGUAGGGAAGAAAAGUUUGCGGUUAAUACCCGUAACCCCUGACGUUACCUACAGAAGAAGCACCGGCUAACUCCGUGCCAGCAGCCGCGGUAAUACGGAGGGUGCGAGCGUUAAUCGGAAUUACUGGGCGUAAAGCGCGCGUAGGUGGUUUGGUAAGUCGGAUGUGAAAGCCCCGGGCUUAACCUGGGAUGUGCAUUCGAUACUGCCAGACUGGAGUAUGGUAGAGGGUAGUGGAAUUCCCGGUGUAGCGGUGAAAUGCGUAGAUAUCGGGAGGAACAUCAGUGGCGAAGGCGGCUACCUGGACCAAUACUGACACUGAGGCGCGAAAGCGUGGGGAGCAAACAGGAUUAGAUACCCCCGUAGUCC